AUGUUGAUAGUUGACGAAUUUGAAGAGGCAUGGAAGUUCCUAAUAGAUAAAUAUAACCUGAAGUCACAUGAGUACAUGACCCAGCUGUACGAUAUGCGGCACAAACGGGCGAAGCCUUAUUUCACAGAUGUGUUCUGCGCAAAAAUGAGUAGUACUCAGAGGAGUGAAAGCACAAAUCAUAUGCUGAAGAACUACAUACCACCGGGGUGCCCGAUGCACCUGUUUGUGCGGAAAUACAUGGUUCUGCAAUUCGACAGGGAAGCAGAGGAAAAUUAUGAAGAAAAACGUACAAGAAUUGUAAGCUACUGUUCCCUGGGGGGGGGGCAACACAAGUUUUCAUUGAUAGGAUGGUUUCAGUCUUCUGAUAUGCCUAACUGUCACAUCCCUAGUCUGGUAUGA
rnacentral:rRNA from 1 species